AUUGAACGCUGGCGGCAGGCCUAACACAUGCAAGUCGAGCGAGCGGCGGACGGGUGAGUAAUGUAUGGGGAUCUGCCUGAUGGCGGGGGAUAAAUACUGGAAACGGUAGCUAAAACAGCAUACCAUCAGAUGAACCCAUAUGGGAUUAGCUAGUAGGUAAGGUAACGGCUUACCAAGGCGACGAUCCCUAGCUGGUCUGAGAGGAUGAUCAGCCACACUGGGACGGAGACACGGCCCAGACUCCUACGGGAGGCAGCAGUGGGGAAUAUUGCACAAUUGACGAAAGCCUGAUGCAGCCAUGCCGCGUGUAUGAAGAAGGCUUUCGGGUUGUAAAGUACUUUCAGUAGGGAGGCGUUACCGACAGAAAAAGCACCGGCUAACUCCGUGCCAGCAGCCGCGGUAAUUC
rnacentral:rRNA from 1 species